GAUUUCUGGUUGGCUGUGCUAGCCCGGCUCUUUACGGGGCUGAGUGCCGGUACAAGUCAUCCAUCUUUCUAGAGAGCCUUGCCUGCCAUUCACUUGGCCGGGCAUGUUGCGAUCUAGAUCUUUUACUUUGAAAAAAUUAGAGUGUUUCAAGCAGGCUUUAUGCUAUGAAUACAUUAGCAUGGAAUAAUAAUUUAGGACUUCGGUUCUAUUUUGUUGGUUUCUAGGACUGAAGUAAUGAUUGAUAGGGAUAGUUGGGGGUGCUAGUAUUCAGCGGCCAGAGGUGAAAUUCUCGGAUUCGCUGAAGACUAACUUAUGCGAAAGCAUU
rnacentral:rRNA from 1 species